rnacentral:rRNA from 1 species
GACAGAGGGGGCAAGCGUUGCUCGGAAUUACUGGGCGUAAAGGGCGCGUAGGCGGGAUGGCAAGUCGGUCGUGAAAUCCCUCGGCUCAACCGAGGAACGUCGAUCGAUACUGCUGUUCUUGAGGAUUGCAGAGGAGACUGGAAUUCCCGGUGUAGCGGUGAAAUGCGUAGAUAUGCGGAGGAACACCGAUGGCGAAGGCAAUCCCCUGGGCCUGUACUGACGCUCGUGCACGAAAGCGUGGGGAGCAAACAGG